UACAGAGGUCUCAAGCGUUGUUCGGAUUCACUGGGCGUAAAGGGUGCGUAGGUGGCGAGGUAAGUUCGAUGUGAAAUCCCCGGGCUCAACCCGGGAACUGCAUUGAAAACUCUCUCGCUCGAGGGUCGGAGGGGAGACUGGAAUUCUCGGUGUAGCAGUGAAAUGCGUGGAUAUCGAGAGGAACACCAGUGGCGAAGGCGAGUCUCUGGACGACACCUGACACUGAGGCACGAAAGCUAGGGGAGCAAACAGG
rnacentral:rRNA from 1 species